rnacentral:rRNA from 1 species
GAGGAAUAUUGGUCAAUGGACGGAAGUCUGAACCAGCCAAGUAGCGUGCAGGAUGACGGCCCUAUGGGUUGUAAACUGCUUUUGUAUGGGGAUAAAGUUAGGGACGUGUCCCUAUUUGCAGGUACCAUACGAAUAAGGACCGGCUAAUUCCGUGCCAGCAGCCGCGGUAAUACGGAAGGUCCAGGCGUUAUCCGGAUUUAUUGGGUUUAAAGGGAGCGUAGGCAGGAGAUUAAGUGUGUUGUGAAAUGUAGACGCUCAACGUCUGAAUUGCAGCGCAUACUGGUUUCCUUGAGUACGCACAACGUUGGCGGAAUUCGUCGUGUAGCGGUGAAAUGCUUAGAUAUGACGAAGAACUCCGAUUGCGAAGGCAGCUGACGGGAGCGCAACUGACGCUUAAGCUCGAAGGUGCGGGUAUCAAACAGGAUUAGAUACCCUGGUAGUCCGCACAGUAAACGAUGGAUGCCCGCUGUUGGUACCUGGUAUCAGCGGCUAAGCGAAAGCAUUAAGCAUCCCACCUGGGGAGUACGCCGGCAACGGUG